rnacentral:rRNA from 1 species
GAUGAACGCUGGCGGCGUGCCUAAUACAUGCAAGUCGAGCGAACGGACGAGAAGCUUGCUUCUCUGAUGUUAGCGGCGGACGGGUGAGUAACACGUGGAUAACCUACCUAUAAGACUGGGAUAACUUCGGGAAACCGGAGCUAAUACCGGAUGAUAUUUUGAACCGCAUGGUUCAAAAGUGAAAGACGGUCUUGCUGUCACUUAUAGAUGGAUCCGCGCUGCAUUAGCUAGUUGGUAAGGUAACGGCUUACCUAGGCAACGAUGCAUAGCCGACCUGAGAGGGUGAUCGGCCACACUGGAACUGAGACACGGUCCAGACUCCUACGGGAGGCAGCAGUAGGGAAUCUUCCGCAAUGGGCGAAAGCCUGACGGAGCAACGCCGCGUGAGUGAUGAAGGUCUUCGGAUCGUAAAACUCUGUUAUUAGGGAAGAACAUAUGUGUAAGUAACUGUGCACAUCUUGACGGUACCUAAUCAGAAAGCCACGGCUAACUACGUG